rnacentral:piRNA from 1 species
UGCCAACAACUGUCCAGCUUUGAGG